rnacentral:tRNA from 1 species
GCCUUGGUGGUACAAUGGCUAAACUCUUGGCUGCUAAACAAAAGUUUGAUGGUUCAAACCCACCCAGAGGCU